AUUGAACGCUGGCGGAAUGCUUUACACAUGCAAGUCGAACGGCAGCACGGGGCAACCUGGUGGCGAGUGGCGAACGGGUGAGUAAUACAUCGGAACGUGCCCAAUCGUGGGGGAUAACGUAGCGAAAGUUACGCUAAUACCGCAUACGAUCUACGGAGGAAAGCGGGGGAUCGCAAGACAUCGCGCGAAAGGAGCGGCCGAUGUCAGAUUAGGUAGUUGGUGGGGUAAAGGCUCACCAAGCCAACGAUCUGUAGCUGGUCUGAGAGGACGACCAGCCACACUGGGACUGAGACACGGCCCAGACUCCUACGGGAGGCAGCAGUGGGGAAUUUUGGACAAUGGGCGCAAGCCUGAUCCAGCCAUUCCGCGUGCAGGAUGAAGGCCUUCGGGUUGUAAGCUGCUUUUGUACGGAACGAAACGGCUCUCUCUAAUACAGGGGGCUAAUGACGGUACCGUAAGAAUAAGCACCGGCUAACUACGUGCCAGCAGCCGCCGUAACAC
rnacentral:rRNA from 1 species